rnacentral:rRNA from 1 species
AGAGUUUGAUCCUGGCUCAGGACGAACGCUGGCGGCGUGCUUAACACAUGCAAGUCGAACGAGAAUCUAUGGAUCGAGGAUUCGUCCAAGUGAAGUAGAGGACAGUGGCGGACGGGUGAGUAACGCGUGAGGAACCUGCCUUUCAGAGGGGGACAACAGUUGGAAACGACUGCUAAUACCGCAUGACACAUAGAGAUCGCAUGGUUUUUAUGUCAAAGAUUUAUCGCUGAAAGAUGGCCUCGCGUCUGAUUAGCUAGUUGGUGAGGUAACGGCCCACCAAGGCGACGAUCAGUAGCCGGACUGAGAGGUUGAACGGCCACAUUGGGACUGAGAUACGGCCCAGACUCCUACGGGAGGCAGCAGUGGGGAAUAUUGGGCAAUGGGCGCAAGCCUGACCCAGCAACGCCGCGUGAAGGAAGAAGGCUUUCGGGUUGUAAACUUCUUUUGUCAGGGACGAGUAGAAGACGGUACCUGACGAAUAAGCCACGGCUAACUACGUGCCAGCAGCCGCGGUAAUACGUAGGUGGCAAGCGUUGUCCGGAUUUACUGGGUGUAAAGGGCGUGUAGCCGGGAAGGCAAGUCAGAUGUGAAAUCCACGGGCUUAACUCGUGAACUGCAUUUGAAACUACUUUUCUUGAGUAUCGGAGAGGCAAUCGGAAUUCCUAGUGUAGCGGUGAAAUGCGUAGAUAUUAGGAGGAACACCAGUGGCGAAGGCGGCUUGCUGGACGACAACUGACGCUGAGGCGCGAAAGCGUGGGGAGCAAACAGGAUUAGAUACCCUGGUAGUCCACGCUGUAAACGAUGAAUACUAGGUGUGGGGGGACUGACCCCUUCCGUGCCGCAGUUAACACAAUAAGUAUUCCACCUGGGGAGUACGACCGCAAGGUUGAAACUCAAAGGAAUUGACGGGGGCCCGCACAAGCAGUGGAUUAUGUGGUUUAAUUCGAAGCAACGCGAAGAACCUUACCAGGGCUUGACAUCCUACUAACGAGAUAGAGAUAUGUUAGGUGCCCUUCGGGGAAAGUAGAGACAGGUGGUGCAUGGUUGUCGUCAGCUCGUGUCGUGAGAUGUUGGGUUAAG